UACAGAGGGUGCGAGCGUUGUCCGGAAUCACUGGGCGUAAAGAGCUCGUAGGCGGUUUGUCGCGUCGGCUGUGAAAACUCGGGGCUCAACCCCGAGCCUGCAGUCGAUACGGGCAGACUAGAGUGCGGUAGGGGAGACUGGAAUUCCUGGUGUAGCGGUGAAAUGCGCAGAUAUCAGGAGGAACACCGGUGGCGAAGGCGGCGUCCUGGACCAACACUGACACUGGUGAGCGAAAGCCAGGGGAGCAAACGGG
rnacentral:rRNA from 1 species